UCCCUGGUGGCUUAGAGGAUAAAGCGUCUCCCUGCAAUGCAGGAGAUCUAGGUUCGAUCCCUGGGUUGGGAA
rfam:Ovis aries breed Texel chromosome 1, whole genome shotgun sequence.